rnacentral:rRNA from 1 species
GACGAACGCUGGCGGCGUGCCUAACACAUGCAAGUCGAGCGAUGAAAUUCCCUUUGGGGAAUGGAUUAGCGGCGGACGGGUGAGUAACACGUGGGCAACCUGCCUCAAAGUGGGGAAUAGCCCUCCGAAAGGAGGAGUAAUACCGCAUAAUAUGGUAAAAUCGCAUGAUUUAAUCAUUAAAGAUUUAUCGCUUUGAGAUGGGCCCGCGGCGCAUUAGCUAGUUGGUAAGGUAAUGGCUUACCAAGGCGACGAUGCGUAGCCGACCUGAGAGGGUGAUCGGCCACAUUGGAACUGAGAUACGGUCCAGACUCCUACGGGAGGCAGCAGUGGGGAAUAUUGCGCAAUGGGGGAAACCCUGACGCAGCAACGCCGCGUGGGUGAUGAAGGUCUUCGGAUUGUAAAACCCUGUCUUUGGGGACGAUAAUGACGGUACCCAAGGAGGAAGCCACGGCUAACUACGUGCCAGCCGCCGCCGUAAAAC